CCUACGGGUGGCUGCAGUGGGGAAUCUUGCGCAAUGCGCGAAAGCGUGACGCAGCAACACCGCGUGAGGGAAGACGGCCUUCGGGUUGUAAACCUCUUUCAGGAGGGACGAAGGGUGACCGGUGAACAGCCGUGUUGCUUGACGGUACCUCCAGAAGAAGCUCCGGCUAACUACGUGCCAGCAGCCGCGGUAAUACGUAGGGAGCGAGCGUUGUCCGGAAUCAUUGGGCGUAAAGCGCGCGUAGGCGGCCCGAUAAGUCCGCUGUAAAAGUCAAC
rnacentral:rRNA from 1 species